UCCGUAGGGUGCGAGCGUUAAUCGGCAUUACUGGGCGUAAAGCGUGCGCAGGCGGUUCGUUAAGUUCGUUGUGAAAGCCCCGGGCUCAACCUGGGAACUGCAAUGGAAACUGGCGGGCUUGAGUGUGGCAGAGGGGGGUGGAAUUCCGCGUGUAGCAGUGAAAUGCGUAGAGAUGCGGAGGAACACCGAUGGCGAAGGCAGCCCCCUGGGCCAACACUGACGCUCAGGCACGAAAGCGUGGGGAGCAAACAGG
rnacentral:rRNA from 1 species